CGACACAAUGCAGCAAAUAGCUGACCAGAUUAUGCUAAUCUCUACAUAAUUUCUGAGGGUAAUUAUAAGUGUGCCAAACAUAAGGCUUUUUAUGAUAGCUAGCAUGAUGACGUGAUUUCUUUUUCCAAAUACUAGCGUCGUUUGUUUGCAUUUCCUACCUUUUCCACUCUCUAUUUGGAGGGUGUGUGCGAUGCUGAUCUUUAUCUAAUUUGCAGGAUUCUGAUAAUCGUGGCCAAAAGAAGGCUAUCAUGGUAACUAGCAUGACAAGUUCUAAAAUUGAAGCGAACAAAUUUGGAAGGAAGCAAAACAACUUUCUGAGACAAAAUUAGUUCAUGGGAUGUUACAUACCUGAUCAUCUUCUUGUUCACCAAGUUCUGCUGCAACUUGAAGUUGCCUAACUAACUCCAUUCCUUCUCCUAUUUGUUGUUUUUCGUCUUGAUUGAGCAAAUCAUCAACGAGAAGGAGUCCACUAUCUUUCAGGGCUUGAAUAAGCCCUUUCCCUUCGUCUUUUAUGUCCUUGCCACAUAAUGCGAUGUAGGGACUAGGACCUAACAAAGCAAAUUGCACUUGAUUGUGUUUUAACAUGAUUAUUGUAUAAAUUAAAGAUAAACAUGCAUAAUUGUGGGUAGAAACAUAACCUGAGUCAUAUUGUAACUCAAAGGGUAUUGCUCGGAGCUGAAAGUAGCAAUAAACACUCAUGGACGAGGGACAUGAUGCGGGGAGGCUGAAAGAAGUCUCACUCGUGUGAAGAACUGUGCUGCUCUUCAUUACCUAACAAUCAAAAUAGCAGUCAACAUGAUGUCUAGGUUAAAUGUACACAUGUUUUUUUUCCUUGUGACUGCACGGAAUGUUAUUCAUCCAAACUAGAUGCUGAUUAUAAAGAAACGACAGACAUCCUACUGUGCACUAAUCUAGAGAUCAUAAGUCAUUAGUACAUUUUAGGUGGAACAACAUGGAGCCGUUAAUUAGGUAACAUCAUUCCAAUUUAGUCGAAGUAAUGACAUAGGGGUCCUACUUUACGAUAACCAAAUUCCCUAAGCAUGUCCAUGUUCCUUUGUUUUGACGGAUAUUCUGCUACAUGGUUAUUGAGAAUGUAAUUGAAUAAACUAUGACAAAUUUGACCCAACUUUUUGAUCCACACAUGCCCCAAGUCAAUAUCACGAUAUGCAACAUGAACUAGUUAGAGUAUUUUUGCUAUUUUGCUAUCUAAGUGGUUUAAGCAACAUAGUCCUGGGUUUUUGUCCAAAUAGGUCAAACUUUUACAACAAUAAUGUAAGGCUAGCAAACAAGCAACACAUCCCAUCUGAAUGUAGGAGCAAACAAGGAUCUCCAUAGCUAUAAUCCCCUUUAAUAACUCUGAAACACUAUUUAUAGAAUGCAUUUCAAACAAUAAUAAUGGCCUAUGAACAAGUAAUCCUUCUACCAAAUCCAUCGUCUUUUUUUCUAAAGGCUUCUGUAUUUAUAUGUAUGUUUGAGCUUGUUUCUAAAGUCAUCUUUUGACAUUCAUAGUUUUCAGUAUCUCAUUGGGUCAAUAGCUUAAGAUUUUUGUUUUGCUUUUGUCAAAUCGCUAGGAGAGGUCAUUUACAUGUCAUGCAACGGGACACUACAAAAGCUAUGUGUGAGUCCAUGAGAUAACCAAGCUCAGCAACUAAACCAUUUCCAGAGAUAGCCCUAAACAAAGGGAGAGUCUCUUUAAAGGGGAGAAACAAUCAAUUUUUGGCUCAGACAAGUUUUGAGCCCCUGACCUCCCAAUUAGGCGUAUACAUGGGUGGCCAACUAGGCUAAAUCCAGUUGGUUCGGUUCAAGAAAGCUCUUUUGGAGAUCUGAUGUAGCCGAGCGUCUGAUUAUUUGUCCUAUUUUGCGACUCUAGUUUCCCUUGAUUUCCCAUAGUUCAUUUAUUGUCAACUUGGUGGGACUAAACGAUGGUAUCCAUACACGGGAAAUAUACAACUCGAUUUUUCUUUGAUAUCUCAGUAUUUGUUAUUCAUAUAGUUGGAAGCUGCUGGCCAAAUUUGAUAUACUCUCUGACAGAUGAAAUAAGUGCAAUUUAACUGUCUAUUUCAAUGAAUUGAAAACUGAAGUUUUCCUGUGUCA